rnacentral:rRNA from 1 species
CAGUAGCGUAUAUUAAAGCUGUUGCGGUUAAAAAGCUCGUAGUUGGAUAUCAGUGCGUGUCCGGUCCGGUAUGCCCGGCGGCGGCGCUCGCGCGUCACUGCCGGGCUCCCAAAUAUCGGCUGGCCGCAUUCAAUCGUGCCGGAUCCGUCGACGGGCCGUUCUACGGAGGGGCCUGUUGGCGACCGGCGACGUUACCUUGAACAAAUUAGAGUGCUCAAAGCAGGCUCUGAAUGCCUGUAUACAUAUUCAUGGAAUUGGAGAAUACGUCCCUGGCUCGAUUUGGUUGGUUUUGAGAGUCGAAGGGAAAUGAUUAAUAGGGACUGACGGAGGCAUUCGUAUUGCGACGCGAGGGGUGAAAUCCUGUGACCGUCGAACGACGAACUACUGCGAAAGCAUUUGCCGAGAAUGUUUUCAUUAG